rnacentral:rRNA from 1 species
AGAUACGCGCAGAACCUUACCAACACUUGACAUGUUCGUCGCGACUCUAAGAGAUUAGAGUUUUCGGUUCGGCCGGACGAAACACAGGUGCUGCAUGGCUGUCGUCAGCUCGUGUCGUGAGAUGUUGGGUUAAGUCCCGCAACGAGCGCAACCCUCACUUUUAGUUGCCAUCAUUAAGUUGGGCACUCUGAAAGAACUGCCAGUGAUAAGCUGGAGGAAGGUGGGGAUGACGUCAAGUCCUCAUGGCCCUUACGUGUUGGGCUACACACGUGCUACAAUGGCAUCUACAACAGGAAGCAAAACGGCAACGUUAAGCAAAUCCCGAAAAGAUGCCUCAGUUCGGAUUGCACUCUGCAACUCGAGUGCAUGAAGCUGGAAUUACUAGUAAUCGUGGAUCAGCGUGCCACGGUGAAUGCGUUCCCGGGUCUUGUACACACCGCCCGUCACACCAUGGGAGUUGGUUCUACCUUAAGGCAAGGUNUNAA